rnacentral:lncRNA from 1 species
UCUUAGUUCAUUAAUAUUUUUCCUUUUCUUCUAAGGUCAGGAGAGUGCUCACCUGUGUGUUACUAUUUCUCCACUGACCCAGAGUCUAACAUUUUCUGAUUUAUUUUGCCUGUCUUUUGAAACAUGCCUCUCUUUCCAUCUUUUGGUGUGGAAGGACAUUACUGAAUCAAGAAUAUUGUGCAGUGCCUGAAAUCUAUAAACUGUAUAAUACUUUACCACAUUUUUUUCUAUAAAUCAGUUUCAAUCUUCAGCAUCAUUGUUGCUUGUCUAACACUGGUAUGAAAUAAUUGGAAGCCAAAUUGUGUUUGCAGAACCUAUGUCCUGUAAUAUUUUCCUUGGCUGGAUUUCCUCCCUGGAGGAGACUUGCAAACAGGCCUAAGGAAAUAAGCACUUGCUUCACUGCAAAAAGAAUGAGAACUCACGUUAAAAUAAUAUGUACUUGAGCUGGUGUGGUGGUGCACACCUAUAAUCCCAGCAACUCGGGAGGCUGAGACAGGAGGAUCUCAAGUUCAAAGCCAGCCUCAGCAACUGCAAGGCGCUAAGUAACUCAGUGAGACCCUGUCUCUAAAUAAAAGGGAUGUGGCUCAGUGGUCAAGUGCCCCUGAAAAAAAAAGGGAUGUGCCCCUGAGUUCAAUCCCCAGUACCUAAUAAUAAUAGUAAUAAUAAUAAUAAUAUGUACCUGUAAUUUCUCUGUUCUUUUAACUCAUCAUCAGUCUGUGGAGGGUUUUCCCAAUUUUUGUACUCUUUUCAAAGCCCAGCUAUUAGCUGUUUUAAAACCUCUUGUUUUCUAUUUUAUUAAUUUCUGCCCUUUAUCAUUACUUGCCUUUCUUUUUUUGGUCUAUUUUUUGGGGUUUAUUUUUAAUUUUUUAACUUCUUGAAUUAUAUUUUCAGUUCAUCAAUUUUCACCAUUAUUUUCUAUCACAACCAUUUAAGCAAGAUAAUAAAAUUCCUUCUAAGUACUAUUUUGGUUGAGUUCCACAAAUUUAAGUACAUAUUAUUUGUCUUAUUUAGUUGAAAAUAUAUCCCAAUUGUGAUGCUAGGGAUUGAACCCAGGACCUCGCAGAGACAGAGUCUCACUAAGUUGCCCAUGAUGGCCUCAAACUUGUGACCCUCCCAUGUCAGGUUUCC